rfam:Trametes pubescens strain FBCC735 TRAPTBscaffold_1024, whole genome shotgun sequence.
UGCCCCAUGGCUGAGUUGGUUACAGCGUCCGACUGUUACGAAGCGAGCAUCCUUCGGUCAUCGGAAGGUCGUGAGUUCGAGCCUCACUGGGGCAG